GACGAACGCUGGCGGCGUGCCUAAUACAUGCAAGUCGAGCGGAUUGAUGGGAGCUUGCUCCCUGAUAUCAGCGGCGGACGGGUGAGUAACACGUGGGCAACCUGCCUAUAAGACUGGGAUAACUUCGGGAAACCGGAGCUAAUACCGGAUAAUCCCUUUCCUCUCAUGAGGAAAGGCUGAAAGAUGGUUUACGCUAUCACUUAUAGAUGGGCCCGCGGCGCAUUAGCUAGUUGGUGAGGUAACGGCUCACCAAGGCAACGAUGCGUAGCCGACCUGAGAGGGUGCUCGGCCACACUGGGACUGAGACACGGCCCAGACUCCUACGGGGGGCAGCAGUAGGGAAUCUUCCGCAAUGGACGAAAGUCUGACGGAGCAACGCCGCGUGAGUGAUGAAGGUUUUCGGAUCGUAAAACUCUGUUGUUAGGGAAGAACAAGUACGAGAGUAACUGCUCGUACCUUGACGGUACCUAACCAGAAAGCCACGGCUAACUACGUGCCAGCCGCCCGCCGUAA
rnacentral:rRNA from 1 species